GAUUUUACCUUUCCAGGUUUAAAAUGUUUCUCUGCCCUCUGGGUUUGAGAUUUCAGCUCAUUGUAUGCAUGUACACACAUAGCUCACAAUACCUCUAUUAUUAUAACAUCCCUCUGCUCACAUUUUAUAGCUGGGAACUGGGGAUGGUUGAGUGAUUUGCCCAAAGGUUAUGGGAGAAGUAUGUUGAAGAACUUCAGUGUAUCAAUACAUAGAGAGCUCACUGUCUUCCCUGUGCUUCAUGGUAUUCUUAAAGUCUAGGGCAAGAAGAUCCUCCCAACCUGGAAUAGCUUCAGGUAUAGGUUCAGGGAUGGAGUACCUGUCUGGAGUUUGGACCAGCAGGGAUGUAUGUGGAGAGGGGUCCUCACAGAUUGGCAAGAGAGCACUUUAAUUUUUCAACUCUGUCAAUUCUUGGUGACUUCACUGAAUUCUGGAGAGGUUGGAUCUGUAUCGUAUGAUGUGAUCAGUUCUUUGCCAUAUACCUAUGUCUAACUCUAACCUCCAAAUCAUUAACUAAAAAGUAAAGCUCCAGAAAGGCAAAUUGGAAGAAAAUAAGAUAUUGAUACUGGAAACAGUUGAAAACUGGGAAAUGGAUAAACUUUAAGGACCAGUGCUUUAUCCAAGGCAUCACCCUAGUUACCAACACUGGGCAUGUUGGAUAUCUGCUCUGAGGAAGGAUAAGAUUGAGACUGAACCUGUAAUUUUGCUGAUAAAGGGAACUCUUAGAUGAAGAAGCCUUCCUCGUUUAUACAGAGAAAAUAUCAGCAUGCUAAGGGGUAGAGCUUAAUAUUAUGAAGAGUUGUUUUUUUCUGUGUAUGAAGCUAAUAACAAUGCUUAAUAUGGAUUAAAAUCUAAUGUGCCUGCUCCCAUCAACACCUUGUGCUAAGCAAAUGAGCAACUCAAGAGUAUGAAAUUAGUGUAUAAACAAAUGCUUCUGGCUAGACAGUUUACCAGCAUGGUAAUGAAGAAGAAAAAAAGGAGAAAA